GCCGCGGUUAAACCAGCACCUCAAGUGGUCAGGAGGAUUAUUGGGCCUAAAGCAUCCGUAGCCGGCUCUGUAAGUUUUNGGUUAAAUCCAUGCGCUCNACGCANGGGCUGCCGGGAAUACUGCAUAGCUAGGGAGUGGGAGAGGUAGACGGUACUCGGUAGGAAGGGGUNNAAUCCUUNGAUCUAUCGAUGACCACCUGUGGCGNAGGCGGUCUACCAGAACACGUUCGACGGUGAGGGAUGAAAGCUGGGGGAGCAAACNGGAUUAGAUACCCGGGUAGUCCCAGCUGUNNACGAUGCAGACUCGAUGAUGCAUUGGCAU
rnacentral:rRNA from 1 species